rnacentral:rRNA from 1 species
AUGGCUCCUCAGCAGGAGAGCAACAAGGACGACGGUGCCGCGACCACGCCGGCGAUGGAGGAGGAAGAGGAGGAGCACCAUCGCCAUGGCGAGCGGCCGCUGCUGUCGGCGUGUGAGCAGGAGGAUGGCAGCAAGCCAUUGCCAUUGCUGGUGAAGAGGAGGAGGAGGAGCAGCAGCCUGAGCAGAUCGUCAAGGUCAGGCGAGCAGGGGCGGGAAGAGGAGGCGCCUGGCCCCCGGUCGCUGUCCUUCUCCAGGCUCUUCAGCAGCUUCAGGAUGAUGGCCGCCUCCUCCACCACCAUGGACAUUGACGAGCUAGCAGCCGCCGAAGACGGAUGCGCAGCUCUCAACCCUCAGCAGCAGUGGAGGAAGCCGGUGUGCCGGACGCAGUCGCUGCCGAUGACGAGCAUCUCCAGGAGGCUCCCCAGCAGGAAGCGGGUGGCGGACUCGAGCUCCCUGCGCCGGUUCCGGCUGUCGUCGGCGGCGCCCGCGCCAUUGCCGGAAUCAGCGUCGCCGCCCUCUUCGCCGUCACCGUCGGCAGAAGAAGGAGGAGAUGGAGAGGAGGUGGGGGAGGAGGAGGCGGUGUGCCGUAUCUGCAUGGUGGCGCUGCUGGAGGAGGAGGAGGAGGAGGAAGGAGGGGCCGGCGACGGCGUGCUGAAGCUGGAGUGCCGGUGCAAGGGCGAGCUGGCGCUGGCGCACCGCCGCUGCGCGCUCAAGUGGUUCGGCAUCAAGGGCAACCCCAACUGCGACGUCUGCGGCCACGACGUCCUCAACCUCCCCGUCACCCUCCGCCGCGUCGCCGCCCCUCCCCCACCACCACCUCCUCCCCUCACCGCCGGCAAUGGCAAUGGCGGCACCAGCCAAGAGGAAGAACAAGAAGCAAGAGAGGGAAGAGGGUUGAGGGGCGUGUGGCGGCAUGGCACGGUGAUCCUGGUGACGGUGAGCAUGCUGGCCUACUUCUGCUUCCUGGAGCAGCUGCUGGUGGGCGACCACGGCAACGCCGCCGCCGCCCUCGCCGUCUCCGUGCCCUUCGCCGUCGUGCUCGGCACCUUCUCCGCGCUCACCACCGCCGGGAUGGCCUCCUCCCGCCGCUACGUGUGGGCAUACUCGGCGCUGCAGUUCCUGCUCGUCGUCCUCUUCACCCACCUCUUCUACCGCUACGUCAACCUCCAGGCCGUCAUCGCCAUCAUCCUCUCCGCCUUCGCCGGCUUCGGCGUCGCCAUCUGCGCCAACGCCAUGCUGCUCCAGGCCGCCCGCUGGAGGGCCGCCGUGGCCGCCCGCCACACCCCACCGCCGUCGUCAGACCUCGACAUCCCUCAGCCAUAG